GUCAGUAUAAUUCUAAAAUGGAGUUAAGUUGGGUUUGGAUGAUUGUUGCCACUUUCUUGGCAUUUUACAUUCUUGUAAAGAAAAUAGUGAGAAAGUUGAAUGGGUGGUAUUAUGAUACGAAAUUAGGAAACAAACAUAGCUUAUUGCCUCCUGGUGAUAUGGGAUGGCCUUUUAUUGGAAAUAUAUUUUCCUUCAUCAAACAUUUCUCCUCUGGUCAUCCUGAUUCAUUCAUCCACAACUUAGUCUCCAAAUAUGGAGAAAGUGGAAUCUACAAAACUCAUUUGCUGGGAAAACCAAGCAUCAUCAUUUGCACACCUGAGAUGUGCAAGAGAGUGUUGAAUGAUGAUGAGAACUUCAAGCAAGGGUAUCCAAAAUCCACCAGUGAGCUGUUGAAAAACAAGGCUUUGAGCAAUGUGUGCAGUGCAGAACACAAGGGUUUGAGAGAGUUGGUGAGUUCUGGGAUUUUGGGUCAGAAAGUGUUGGCAAUGAACCUAGAAAUUGUGGAGAAGAUAGUGAUCAAUUCAUUGGAUGAGUUAUCCAGAAUGAAACAACCCAUUCAGGUUUUCAAAGAGAUGGAAAAGAUUUCCUUUGAAGUCAUUAUUCACAUCUUGAUGGGUUCUCACACUCAUUCCAACAACAUUGCAAAGUUGAGAGAUUUGUUUCACCAAUUCUCCAAAUGCAAUCCUAUAUAUUCUCUUCCCAUUAACUUUCCUGGUUUUGCAUUCCAUCAAGGACUCAAGGUAAGAAAGAAGUUGUCGAAGGUAAUUGAAUCGAUAGUGGGUGAAAGGAGGUCAAUGAUGAAAAUGGUAAAAAAUGGAGAUAAUAAGAAAGAUCUGAUUGACCUUGUUUUGGAUGCCAAAGGGGAAAAUGGUGAGGAAUUGAAGGACGAAGAUGUUGCAGAUAUUUUGUUAAUGCUUCUCUUUGCUGCUCACGAAACCACUGCAGUGGCUUUCACUUCCUCAAUUUUAUAUCUUAC
rnacentral:sRNA from 1 species